rnacentral:lncRNA from 1 species
GUUCUGCUCCCUUCCUGUUUAAUAAUUAAUUCAGCUCUAAACCCCAAGGACCCGGGCUCAGCACCCGCUCCACAAAGCCGUACAGAAACAAAAUGCUUCCAGAACUGGGGGGGGACAGAGGAAGAGAGAAUCUAACAUUUCAAGAAACGUCGCCGCAUGGGGCCAGCAAGCGGGGGGCGGGGGUGAGAGUGGAAGGAGCCAGGGUGGAGUCUAAGUAAAACAAAUGUGCACAAAAGCAAGGUUAUUCGCGGCCAAGGCCCCCGCCUGGGAGCGCACUGUGGCCGGAAGCCGUCCCCUCCGGAAGCAGGCCCGGUGCCUGUGGCCAGUGGAGACCUAGAGGGCGAUGGGCUCAGUCUCCGUAACGGGAGAGACCAGCCUGGCUCUGCCUUCGUGGUGGAAAAGUAUCAGAGAAAGGGGCUGGGGAUGUAGCUCAGUGGCACGCGCCUGCCUGGCAAGCGCAAGGUCAUGAGUUUAAUUCCUGGUACUGGAAGAAAAAUAAAAAAAAACAAAAAACAAAAACGAAAAGUAUCAGAGAUGGGCAGAGGUCCUGCCCCUGCUGGCCCCAUAUGCCACCCCAGGGUCACAGUUCUGCCACUAGUGCAGGGGAUGGAGAAUGCCCUGCUGGGCCAGCAGCCGCGGGCGGAACAGGGCACAGGUCCUGAAAUGAAGGGGAGGGGACGGCUUACUGUCCCGUGGGGAGGGACAGCACAGAAACCUCCUGGUUCCUGCACUGAACAUUCAGGGACGAAAGCCCCCGAUCCAACGCAGCAACUGCCGGAUGCGGAGCCUCAGAGAGAGUCACCUUCUCUGCACUGUGGAAUCCUGCCCAGAAAGUAGCACACUGUAGGUGCCAGACGAGGCCAGAAGCCGCAGGAGCUCAUCGAAUCUCUUAUCACACACGCGAUGCAGAGAGGAGGAAGUUCGCUUCCCGGACGCGCCCGGCUCCAGCACACCGCAGGAUCAAACCGCUGGGCUCCCCGGCAACGGCAGAGGGACAGCCAAGUGUCCCAGCGCACCGCCGGCGAUGGCUCGUGCCAGCCAGGCGCUGACUGACGAAGGGAAAUGAAGGCCCAGGUGGCCAAAGAAAACACCAAAUUGUAUUUCCUUUCUUCUUAUUAUUGUAAAGAAGACGUGGCAUCGAGCGAGGCCUCAUACAGCCUCUGAGAUCAUAGUCGGGUAUUUCGAAAAAGACAGCCACAUAAUUAAACGGUUGAGUCAAACA